rnacentral:tRNA from 1 species
GUAGCUCAGUGGAGAGUGCUUGCCUUGCAUGCAUGAGGCCCUGGGUUCAAUUCCUCAGC